rnacentral:rRNA from 1 species
AGUGAACGCUGGCGGUAGGCCUCACACAUGCAAGUCGAACGGCAGCACAGGAGAGCUUGCUCUCUGGGUGGCGAGUGGCGGACGGGUGAGGAAUACAUCGGAAUCUACCUUUUCGUGGGGGAUAACGUAGGGAAACCUACGCUAAUACCGCAUACGACCUACGGGUGGAAGUGGGGGACCGCAAGGCCUCACGCGAUUAG